UACGAAGGGUGCAAGCGUUAAUCGGAAUUACUGGGCGUAAAGAGCUCGUAGGCGGUUUGUCGCGUCUGCUGUGAAAUCCCAGGGCUUAACCCUGGGCCUGCAGUGGGUACGGGCAAACUAGAGUGCGGUAGGGGAGAUCGGAAUUCCUGGUGUAGCGGUGAAAUGCGCAGAUAUCAGGAGGAACACCGGUGGCGAAGGCGGAUCUCUGGGCCGUAACUGACGCUGAGGAGCGAAAGCAUGGGUAGCGAACAGG
rnacentral:rRNA from 1 species